rnacentral:tRNA from 1 species
UCCCUGGUGGUCCAGUGCUUAGGACUCAGCACUUCCACUGCUGUGGUCCAGGUUCAAUCUCUGGUCAGAGAA